rnacentral:rRNA from 1 species
CCUACGGGAGGCAGCAGUGAGGAAUUUUCCGCAAUGGGCGAAAGCCUGACGGAGCAACGCCGCGUGAGGGAUGAAGUCUCUAGGGAUGUAAACCUCUGUUGGGAGGGACGAAGAUCUGACGGUACCUCCUGAGGAAGCCCCGGCUAACUUCGUGCCAGCAGCCGCGGUAAU